CGGACGGGUGAGUAACACGUGGAUAACCUACCUAUAAGACUGGGAUAACUUCGGGAAACCGGAGCUAAUACCGAAUAAUAUAUUGAACCGCAUGGUUCAAUAGUGAAAGACGGUUUUGCUGUCACUUAUAGAUGGAUCCGCGCCGCAUUAGCUAGUUGGUAGGGUAACGGCUUACCAAGGCGACGAUGCGUAGCCGACCUGAGAGGGUGAUCGGCCACACUGGAACUGAGACACGGUCCAG
rnacentral:rRNA from 1 species